rnacentral:rRNA from 1 species
CUUGCCUAAAUAUAAGAGGUCCAGCCUGCCCAGUGACUCUGUUCAACGGCCGCGGUAUCCUAACCGUGCGAAGGUAGCGUAAUCACUUGUUCUUUAAAUGAGGACUGGUAUGAAUGGCACCACGAAGGUUAUACUGUCUCCUCUUUUUAAUCAGUGAAACUAAUCUCCCCGUGAAGAAGCGGGGAUAAACAUAUAAGACGAGAAGACCCUAUGGAGCUUUAAACUAUGUAACACUUGUACUAACCCUAAUACAAAUUCCAGAAAAAUCCUCUACAUCUAUGCAAGAUUGUUGCCAGUUUUAGGUUGGGGUGACCACGGAGCAAAAAACAACCUCCACAUUGAAAGGAGUUUACUCCUUAACCAAGAGCCACACCUCCACGUAUCAUUACAAUGACAUUAAUUGACCCAAUAUAUUGAUCAACGAAC